GGGAGAUUAGCUCAGUUGGUUAGAGCAUCUGCCUUACAAGCAGGGGGUCAUAGGUUCGAGUCCUAUAUCUCCCA
rnacentral:tRNA from 1 species